UUUCCGGUUGAUCCAGCCAGAGGCCAUUGCUAUCGGUGUCCGAUUUAGCCAUGCAAGUCGCACGUUUACCGUGGCGAACUGCUCAGUAACACGUGGCCAAGCUACCCUACGGACCGGGACAACCUCGGGAAACUGAGGCUAAUCCCGGAUGCCGCUUCCGAGCUGGAGUGCUGGAAGCGGGAAACGCUCCGGCGCCGUAGGAUGCGGCUGCGGCCGAUUAGGUAGACGGUGGGGUAACGGCCCACCGUGCCGAUAAUCGGUACGGGUCAUGAGAGUGAGAGCCCGGAGACGGACUCUGAGACAAGAGUCCGGGCCCUACGGGGCGCAGCAGGCGCGAAACCUUUACACUGCGCGACAGCGCGAUAGGGGGACACCGAGUGCGAGGGCAUAGAGCCCUCGCUUUUCAGCACCGUAAGGUGGUGCUGGAACAAGGGCUGGGCAAGACCGGUGCCAGCCGCCGCGGUAACACCGGCAGCCCGAGUGAUGGCCGCUUUUAUUGGGCCUAAAGCGUUCGUAGCCGGCCGAGCAGGUCCGUCGGGAAAUCCAUCCGCUUAACGGAUGGGCGUCCGGCGGAUACCGUUCGGCUAGGGACCGGGAGACCAGAGGGGUACGUCCGGGGUAGGAGUGAAAUCCCGUAAUCCUGGACGGACCACCGGUGGCGAAAGCGCCUCUGGAGAACGGAUCCGACGGUGAGGGACGAAAGCUGGGGUCUCGAACCGGAUUAGAUACCCGGGUAGUCCCAGCUGUAAACGAUGCCCGCUAGGUGUGGCGCAGGCUACGAGCCUGCGCUGUGCCGUAGGGAAGCCGCGAAGCGGGCCGCCUGGGAAGUACGUCUGCAAGGAUGAAACUUAAAGGAAUUGGCGGGGGAGCACUACAACCGGAGGAGCCUGCGGUUUAAUUGGAUUCAACGCCGGA
rnacentral:rRNA from 1 species